AUUGAACGCUGGCGGCAGGCCUAACACAUGCAAGUCGAGCGGAUGAAGGGAGCUUGCUCCUGGAUUCAGCGGCGGACGGGUGAGUAAUGCCUAGGAAUCUGCCUGGUAGUGGGGGAUAACGUCCGGAAACGGGCGCUAAUACCGCAUACGUCCUGAGGGAGAAAGGGGGGGAUCUUCGGACCUCACGCUAUCAGAUGAGCCUAGGUCGGAUUAGCUAGUUGGUGGGGUAAAGGCCUACCAAGGCGACGAUCCGUAACUGUGCUGAGAGGAUGAUCAGUCACACUGGAACUGAGACACGGUCCAGACUCCUACGGGAGGCAGCAGUGGGGAAUAUUGGACAAUGGGCGAAAGCCUGAUCCAGCCAUGCCGCGUGUGUGAAGAAGGUCUUCGGAUUGUAAAGCACUUUAAGUUGGGAGGAAGGGCAGUAAGUUAAUACCUUGCUGUUUUGACGUUACCAACAGAAUAAGCACCGGCUAACUUCGUG
rnacentral:rRNA from 1 species